rnacentral:rRNA from 1 species
GACGAACGCUGGCGGCGUGCUUAACACAUGCAAGUCGAGCGGUAAGGCCCUUUCGGGGGUACACGAGCGGCGAACGGGUGAGUAACACGUGGGUGACCUGCCCUCAGCUCUGGGAUAAGCCUGGGAAACUGGGUCUAAUACUGGAUAUGACUCCAUGACGCAUGUUGUGGGGUGGAAAGCCUUGUGCGGCUGAGGAUGGGCCCGCGGCCUAUCAGCUUGUUGGGGGGUGAUGGCCUACCAAGGCGACGACGGGUAGCCGGCCUGAGAGGGCGGACCGGCCACACUGGGACUGAGACACGGCCCAGACUCCUACGGGAGGCAGCAGUGGGGAAUCUUGCGCAAUGGGCGAAAGCCUGACGCAGCGACGCCGCGUGAGGGAUGACGGCC